rnacentral:misc_RNA from 1 species
AUCAGUGAUGAAGUUGUGAUACAAUUGUAUUAGUCCAUCGCCAGCCUUAAAAACGGGAAGAGCAACAAACUGUUCAAGCUUAAGAGUAAGCUGAUGCCAUAGCUUCCUCUGGUACAGAUCUGCCAAAGUAGUGUACCAAUCGGAAAGCUGUGAAGGAGCAUUGCAAAACGAUUCCAAGUACUGAAGUGCCGCCAUAGCUGAAAAAGCUCUCUCAGUAACACCGAUGAAGACGAAGCAGA